GGAAACCAAAAUGGUGUGGCGAGGGAGAGGCACAAAAAAAACGAAAGAAAGAAAGCAAAAGCCAGGGAGCACGCUACAGCGGAGGCAGCAAAGCAGCGUUCACGGAGCCUUUGCCCAUCGUGUCGUCGUCUUCUUCUUGGGCGUCAGUGUAUGGUUGUGAGCCUUGAAAGCUGCAGAUUAACAGAUAGAGGAGAGAAGUUGGUAUGCCCGUAACGUGUUUGAUGGAAUGUUGCUUUGUCUUUUUAACACGCUUUUAUCGGUGUGUUGCUGCUGGCGGUGGUGGCAGAGCUGCCAUCAUCUGCUGUUGCUGCUAUUUGCUACAUCUGAAGCGGUGGUGGUGGGUGGAGGUUUGCAAUCGUCGAUCCGUGGCUAUCUUUAUGUAUUGAAUGGUGGGGGAAAUCAAUGGCUGUCUGAUGUUGUAAUGAUAAAGACGACAAGAAGUGGAGCCGUUGUGCUGCUUUUCCGGGCGCCCCUGUCCCGCUGAUGCCGGGCUUCCUUUUCCUCCUCCAUGGCGCCGUAGCAUCCCAUUCGUUCCCCGCUCCGAUCGUGUGUGUCUUGUGCUCUGCUACCGCUCCAACUGCCCCUCGGCCUUGUCCUGCCGUGGAACGAGGGAGGGACGGAGGCCAAGAAGAUUAGCUGUGAGCGUUGGCAUGUGUCAUGUAAAUAUGUCCUUGUUUGACUUGUCAUUUUAUUGCGAGUAAAAGAAUGUGUUAUCUAUA